rnacentral:rRNA from 1 species
UACGAAGGGGCUAGCGUUGCUCGGAAUCACUGGGCGUAAAGGGUGCGUAGGCGGGUCUUUAAGUCAGGGUGAAAUCCUGGAGCUCAACUCCAGAACUGCCUUUGAUACUGAGGAUCUUUGAGUCCGGGAGAGGUGAGUGGAACUGCGAGUGUAGAGGUGAAAUUCGUAGAUAUUCGCAAGAACACCAGUGGCGAAGGCGGCUCACUGGCCCGGUACUGACGCUGAGGCACGAAAGCGUGGGGAGCAAACAGGG